rnacentral:rRNA from 1 species
AGCUUCAAACUUAGCCCAACCAAAUACGAAUUUUUUAAUAAUAAUUAGACACCCCAAACAAACCAUUUAAACAUUUUAGUAAAGGAGAUUGAAAAACCUAUUGGAGCUAAAACAACAGUACCGCAAGGGAAAAGUGAAAUAAUAAAUGAAAACUAAAGCAACAAACAGUAAAGACUACCCCUUGUACCUUUUGCAUCAUGGUUUAACUAGUCCAAUCAAGCAAAACGCAUUUAAGUUUGACCCCCCGAAACUAAGUGAGCUACUUCAAGGCAGCUGAAAGAGCGAACCCGUCUCUGUAGCAAAAGAGUGGGAUGACCAUCAAGUAGCGGUGAUAGACCUAACGAACUUAGUGAUAGCUGGUUACUCAUCAAGAAAUGGAUUUUAGUCCAACCUGAACAAUACCCUCAGUUCACCAAAACAACUUAUUUAUUUUCAGCGUAAUUCAAAUAAGGUACAGCUUAUUUGAAACAGGACACAACCUAAACCAACGGAUAAGAUCAGCCUAGCGAGCAACCAAGUUGGCCUAAAAGCAGCCAUCUUUUAGAGUGCGUCAAAGCUCAGUUGCUCCAACGCCUAAUUAUUAAACCCACAUCUUAAUCCUCCCUCAAUACUGAGUAAUUCUAUAACGUUAUAGAAGCUUUUAUGUUAAAAUUAGUAACAAGAAGAUGACUAUUCUCUUAAAUGUUAGUGUAAAUCAGGCAGGACAAACCACUGAUUCUUAACACCAUUGAACCUGAAGUAAUAAACAAUCAAGAAAACCUUACUCUAAUCAACGUUAACCUAACACAAGCACAUUUCAAGAAAGAUUAAAAAAAUAAGAAGGAACUCGGCAAAUAUUAACCCCGCCUGUUUACCAAAAACAUCGCCUCUUGAACCCAAUAAGAGGUCCAGCCUGCCCAGUGACUCUGUUCAACGGCCGCGGUAUCCUAACCGUGCGAAGGUAGCGUAAUCACUUGUUCUUUAAAUGAGGACUAGUAUGAACGGCACCACGAAGGUUAUACUGUCUCCUUUUUUUGAUCAGUGAAAUUAAUCUCCCCGUGAAGAAGCGGGGAUAAAAUUAUAAGACGAGAAGACCCUAUGGAGCUUUAAACAACGUAGCACUUACCUUUCAACACAAAAAUUCCCGAACAUUGAAACUUUCAGGUAAUAUGACUACAAGUUUUUGGUUGGGGUGACCACGGAGCAUAACAUAACCUCCAUGUUGAAGGAAUAGUAUUCUAAGCUAAGACCUACCCACCUAAGCAUCAAUAUUUUGACAUUCAUUGACCCAAUAUAUUUGAACAACGAACCAAGUUACCCUAGGGAUAACAGCGCAAUCCACUUUAAGAGCCCCUAUCGACAAGUGGGUUUACGACCUCGAUGUUGGAUCAGGGUCUCCAAGUGGUGCAGCCGCUACUA